ACGAACGCUGGCGGCGUGCUUAACACAUGCAAGUCGAACGGGGCCCAACCAGUAGCAAUACUGGGGAAGGUCUAGUGGCGAACGGGUGAGUAACACGUGAGGAACCUGCCCUGAAGAUCGAGAUAAGCCGGGGAAACCUGGUCUAAUACCGAAUAUCUCCGACUGGCCGCAUGACCGGUCGAAGAAAUGGAUUCCGCUUCAGGAGGGCCUCGCGGCCUAUCAGCUUGUUGGUGGGGUAACGGCCUACCAAGGCUCCGACGGGUAGCUGGUCUGAGAGGACGAUCAGCCACACUGGGACUGAGACACGGCCCAGACUCCUACGGGAGGCAGCAGUGGGGAAUCUUGCGCAAUGGGCGAAAGCCUGACGCAGCAACGCCGCGUGGGGGAUGAAUGCCUUCGGGUUGUAAACCCCUUUCAGCAGGAGCGAAUCUGACGGUACCUGCAGAAGAAGGUCCGGCCAACUACGU
rnacentral:rRNA from 1 species